GCUCUUUUAGCUUAAUGUAAAGUAUAAUAUUGAAAAUAUUAAGAUAUUUUAAAAUUUAGAGCA
rnacentral:tRNA from 1 species